UACGGGGGGGGCAAGCGUUGUUCGGAAUUACUGGGCGUAAAGGGCUCGUAGGCGGCCAACUAAGUCGGAUGUGAAAUCCCCAGGCUCAACCUGGGAGCUGCAUCCGAUACUGGAUGGCUUGAAUUCGGGAGAGGGAUGCAGAAUUCCAGGUGUAGCGGUGAAAUGCGUAGAUAUCGGAAGGAACAUCAGUGGCGAAAGCGGCUUCCUGGACCAGAACUGACGAUCAGGCUCGAAAGCGUGGGGAGCAAACAGG
rnacentral:rRNA from 1 species